rnacentral:ncRNA from 2 species
UAAAUAUAACGUGAAAUUGGUUUCGGUUAGUCGCCGAAUUAAAAGGGAAACAGGUGAAAAUCCUGUACGGUCCCGCCGCUGUGAUGGGGAGAUACUGAAAAAAUGCCACUGGGUAACUGGGAAGGCUUCAGUAUCGUAGAACCUGAGUCAGAAGACCUGCCAAUUUCUUUGCACGUAU